rfam:Clostridium methylpentosum DSM 5476 Scfld6 genomic scaffold, whole genome shotgun sequence.
GGGGGCGUAAAGGUUUCGACGGGGAUUUUGAAGCAUGGUAAGCGAGUAGAGGAGGCGCCAGCUCUAUAAAAAGGCGCACCUAAAUUUUAAACGCUAAAAACAAUACUAGAACUUUAGCUUGCGCUGCUUAGUUUUCUAAGCAGUCCGUCCGAUAAGACCUACCGCGCGCUUAUCCGACGUCAAAUUUAGCGGUGAACGUCCACUGGGAGGGCCUUGGCCCGGCGGAUGAACAAAAGGCUACUAAACCCGGGAGCGUGUCUGUCCGCGCCCGGGCAAGGGAAUGCAAAUGACCGACUACACUCGUAGAAAGCUAUGUGAAUAGAUUUUCGGACACGGGUUCAAUUCCCGUCGCCUCCACCA